rnacentral:rRNA from 1 species
UAUGUGAUCGUCUCUCGCAUAUCAAUAAGCGGAGGAAAAGAAACUAACAAGGAUUCCCCUAGUAACGGCGAGUGAAGCGGGAAGAGCUCAAAUUUGAAAUCUUAAAGGGUUUCCCUUUACGAAUUGUAGUUUAAAGAAGUGUUUUCUGUUGAGGUUUUGGUAAAAGUUCUUUGGAAUAGGACAUCAUAGAGGGUGAGAAUCCCGUAUUUGACCUUUACUUUCAACUUUGUGAUACACUUUCAAAGAGUCGGAUUGUUUGGGAAUGCAGUCCAAAAUGGGUGGUAAAUUUCAUCUAAAGCUAAAUAUUGGCGAGAGACCGAUAGCGAACAAGUACCGUGAGGGAAAGAUGAAAAGAACUUUGAAAAGAGAGUUAAACAGUACGUGAAAUUGUCAAAAGGGAAGCGUUUGACACCAGUGUUGUUUUUCUGAAAAUCAAUUAAAGAACUGUUUAUGCUAAGCUGUUUAGACUUUAUCAGCUAACUGUUUAGUUUUGAGCUUUUCUUUAAUGCACUUUUCAGUUAACAAGUCAACAUCAAUUUCUUUUGCUGUAAAAAAGCUUGAGGAAGGUGGCUUGAGAUUCGUCUUAAGUGUUUAUAGCCUCUUGCCUAUGCAGUCGGAGAGAUUGAGGUCUGCAGCGUAGAUCCUUCGGGGCUAAAUGCAUUUGUGCUAAGUUAUAGCAUUUUAUAGACAACUUGUUGACUAUGAUUUGUCUUGUAGCUUACUCGCUUAUGUUAUUUUACCUACGCUUAGGAUGUUGAGCGCAUGUCUCUCUCU